UUAUAAAUAAUUAAAAUUUACGGUUUCUGCCCCUUGUUACGAACUGCUAUUUGGGUGGGCAGUGCCGCUAGCUCAGCGAUCUCUUUGGGCCAAGUUCUCCCCAAUGCCCAGUCCGACAACAUAAAAUCGAUUGCUCGAUGUCUCACAACACUGAAUUACUACGAUCUCUAACAAAAAUGUAAACAAACCAAAAACGUAAACAUUCAAAUACAAGGCGGCGGAAAUUCGGAACUUUGGUGGCCAUCGGUGUUCUUGGCCACUGCGUACCCACCCAACAUAGGAUGCCUGAAAAAGGUCUAGCAAUUCAUCAUCAUUACAAACUGGCUUUAAUUACUCAGGCCACAGUAUCGUCAAUCGACCGCCGUCUUAAAAUUUAGCGGUCCAAGCAAAUUUUUAAGAAAAGGACCGGAAAUGUUCUGCCCCCUUAUAUUGGCAGAAUUCUUUUGUUAACGCGGCUUAAAAUUAGGGUCACCUAAUCCUGAGGAGCUCCACGGGAAAAGAAAGGACGCCGAACGUUUCAGAAAUCUGUCGGUCAAAAGUGAAACUUGGGACAAGGGCGCAAUUAAAUUGGACAAUAUGCAAGUGCUGGUUGGGCUCAGCCCACCAGGAAACGCACCACCAGGAACUCGGAGGCUUAUGUGGACGGGCUGGCCAACCUCGUGGCACCAGUCGCCCGCGAAGGAAAUUGGCCACUAUCGGAGGCACCCCGACGCGGAAUGGACUCACCGGAGAUCUGGAGUCCGAGAAUGUGGACUGGGCUGUCGAUGGUGAGAGUUUUUCCUGAUUCCUGCGUGAGUCAAUCGAUGUCCAUCCAAACUUAUAUCUUAAAGUUAUGCUCCCUCGAAAUUAAAUUUAUA